rnacentral:rRNA from 1 species
GACGAACGCUGGCGGCGUGCUUAACACAUGCAAGUCGAGCGGUAAGGCCCUUCGGGGUACACGAGCGGCGAACGGGUGAGUAACACGUGGGUGACCUGCCCUUAGCUCUGGGAUAAGCCUGGGAAACUGGGUCUAAUACCGGAUAUGACCUCAUGACGCAUGUUGUGGGGUGGAAAGCCUUGUGCGGCUAGGGAUGGGCCCGCGGCCUAUCAGCUUGUUGGUGGGGUGAUGGCCUACCAAGGCGACGACGGGUAGCCGGCCUGAGAGGGCGACCGGCCACACUGGGACUGAGACACGGCCCAGACUCCUACGGGAGGCAGCAGUGGGGAAUAUUGCGCAAUGGGCGGAAGCCUGACGCAGCGACGCCGCGUGAGGGAUGACGGCC